AAAGAAAAAAGAACACAAAGGGAAAAUCGAGGGAGCAGUCUUUUACUUCCAAUAAUUCAUCAUUCUCCUAAUCCUCUCUGUAUUCAAGCUGGCAACACCCUCUCCUUCCUCUUCUUCUUCUCAUCUCAGAUUUCCCAUAAACCCUAACCCUAGAUUCCCGUUUCUAUGACCAACAAUUCUUCAACCCCCAUGCUCUAACACAAAAUUCCUUGUGAGAACCCCUCCCCAAAAUGAUGAUUCCUUUAAUUGUUUCCACAUUUAUUCACCUUGUUUUCAUCUUCGCGGCUGUCAGCUGCGAGAAAGAUUCUAUUUACGAUAUCCUAAAGGCCCAUGGGCUGCCCAUGGGGUUGCUUCCGAAGGGUAUAUCCCGAUUUGAUAUCGACGAUACGGGCCGCUUCGAGGUUCAUUUGGAUCAGGCCUGUAAUGCCAAGUUUGAAAGCCAGUUGCAUUUUGAUACCAAUGUGUCGGGGACCUUGAGUUAUGGGCAGAUCGGGGCGUUGUCGGGGAUUGCGGCUCAAGAGUUGUUUCUUUGGUUCCCGGUUAAAGGGAUUGGGGUCGAUGUUCCCAGCUCCGGUCUCAUUUAUUUUGACGUCGGUGUCGUUGUUAAGCAGCUUCCUUUGUCGAUGUUCGAAACGCCUAAGGACUGUAUGGCGGUAGGGGAUUUUGAAUCCGGUGAUUCAAUUCCAGAUGACGAUUUGUUAGCUGAAUCAAUUGCCAAGAGUCAAUCCGCGAAACUUGGACAUGAACUUGAUCAAGGAAGUUUGGGAGGAACCAUAUGUAGAAAGGUGGGCAAAAGCAGUUGUGUAUUAGUGCAAUCAGUUUAGCUAUCAAAGGGGAUUUUGGGGUCCCGGUCACCCCAUGCUGUAAAUUUUGUUGGAGAGUCUGCUCUAGGUUCCUGUGUGCUUUGCUUGCGUUUUUUUCUUUAUUCUAUAUAGUGCGGAAUUGCCGACAUACCAAGUCCAGCCGGCUUCUAGCUAUGCCAGGAUGGCCGAUGAGAGGGAAAUUGGAAGUUUUCAAACAUACAUUUUCGAUGAUCAUCAUGGUUGGCAUAUCAUAUGGAUUAUGGAAUAUAAAAAUGGAGAUGGGAGCAUUUGGACGGUGAUUUCAGUGUAGGGUGAUGAAAUACAGAUGGUUUUGAGCUAGGCCAGUGGACCGACAUUAAAUUUAUUCAACAAGUUGAAGUUUGGUGCCCCACUUGUAUGAAAGGACGCGGUUUGUUCUGCACUGUUAGACAUAGACAUUCCAAGACGCUGAGCCUUGUUUUCAUUUCCUAAUGGGGGUAACAUGUUUGUUUACUUAAAAUGAUUAAAACGAUAGUAUCUCGGGUGAACAUGCUAUUCUUUUGUGUUCAUUACUUGGCCCUUGUAGUUAAAGGUAGAUAGAUAAUGAUUAUGUAAAGAAGCUGUUGUUCUCAGUUGUUGAUGGAUAAGGGAAUUGGAACAACUUGACUGCCUUGUGGUUUUGAACA